rnacentral:rRNA from 1 species
GACGAACGCUGGCGGCGUGCCUAAUACAUGCAAGUCGAACGCUUCUUUCCUCCCGAGUGCUUGCACUCGAUUGGAAAGCGGGGUGGCGGACGGGUGAGUAACACGUGGGUAACCUACCCAUCAGUGGGGGAUAACACUUGAAAACAGGUGCUAAUACCGCAUAACAGUUUAUGCCGCAUGGCAUAAGAGUGAAAGGGGCUUUCGGGGCUGGUUGAUGGAUGGAUCCGCGGUGCAUUAGCUAGUUGGUGAGGUAACGGCUCACCAAGGCCACGAUGCAUAGCCGACCUGAGAGGGUGAUCGGCCACACUGGAACUGAGACACGGCCCAGACUCCUACGGGAGGCAGCAGUAGGGAAUCUUCGGCAAUGGACGAAAGUCUGACCGAGCAACGCCGCGUGAGUGAAGAAGGUUUUCGGAUCGUAAAGCUCUGUUGUUAGGGAAGAACAAGGACGUUAGUAACUGAACGUCCCCUGACGGUAUCUAACCAGAAAGCCACGGCUAACUACGUG